rnacentral:rRNA from 1 species
GACGAAGGGGGCUAGCGUUGUCCGGAUUUACUGGGCGUAAAGAGCGUGUAGGCGGCCAAGCAGGUCCGUUGUGAAAACUGGAGGCUUAACCUCCAGACGUCGACGGAAACCGCGUGGCUAGAGUCCGGAAGAGGAGAGUGGAAUUCCUGGUGUAGCGGUGAAAUGCGCAGAUAUCAGGAAGAACACCAAUGGCGAAGGCAGCUCUCUGGGACGGUACUGACGCUGAGACGCGAAAGCGUGGGGAGCGAACAGG